rnacentral:rRNA from 1 species
UACGUAGGGGGCAAGCGUUGUCCGGAAUCAUUGGGCGUAAAGAGCGUGUAGGCGGCUCGGUAAGUCCGCUCUGAAAGCCCGGGGCUCAACCCCGGGAGGCGGGCGGAUACUGUCGGGCUAGAGUCCGGAAGAGGCGAGUGGAAUUCCUGGUGUAGCGGUGAAAUGCGCAGAUAUCGGGAGGAACACCUAUUGCGAAGGCAGCUCGCUGGGACGUCACUGACGCUGAGACGCGAAAGCGUGGGGAGCAAACAGG